UUCCACGGCGCAUCUCCACGCGUGCAGCAGCGACCCCGGGAGGAGCUCAAGCCGCAACGAUGGUCCACCGCGCCGGCGCCGUCGUCGUGGAGGAGCAGCGGCGGCCAACGGCAGAUCGGCGUGUCAUGGGAGCAGACACGGCGGCUGUCACGGGCAGAGCAGAGCGAAGUUGGCAUGGCGGCUAGGCGGCUGUCCGGACUGGAUCCCGCCAUCACCACCAGCCCGCCUCGUUUGUCCGUGUCCAUCUCGGCGAAACCAAGGGUCUGCCUCGUGUCCUGCGAGGUGACACUCCACCGCCACCGCUCUGCUGCUUCCGCCCUACACUUCGCUCCCUCCGGUGCCAUCCUCACCUCCGACAAAAAGGACCUCUUGGACGUCAUUGCACAUGCUGGCCUCUUCCGACCCCGUGGCCACCGUGAUCAGGUAAUUGAUUUUGUGUUCCUGGAUUCGGGUAAGAAGCUAGUGACCUGCUCCAAGGACAAGGUUAUCUGGGUUUGGGACCUCGACACAUAA
rnacentral:rRNA from 1 species